rnacentral:rRNA from 1 species
UGGGGAAUAUUGGACAAUGGGCGAAAGCCUGAUCCAGCCAUGCCGCGUGUGUGAAGAAGGUCUUCGGAUUGUAAAGCACUUUAAGACGGGAGGAAGGGCAGUAAGCGAAUACCUUGCUGUUUUGACGUUACCGACAGAAUAAGCACCGGCUAACUCUGUGCCAGCAGCCGCGGUAAUACAGAGGGUGCAAGCGUUAAUCGGAAUUACUGGGCGUAAAGCGCGCGUAGGUGGUUCGUUAAGUUGAAUGUGAAAGCCCCGGGCUCAACCUGGGAACUGAAUGCAAAACAGGCGAGCUAGAGUAGGGCAGAGGGUGGUGGAAUUUCCUGUGUAGCGGUGAAAUGCGUAGGUAUAGGAAGGAAAACCAGUGGCGAAGGCGACCACCUGGGCUCAUACUGACACUGAGGUGCGAAAGCGUGGGGAGCAAACAGG